CGGACGGGUGAGUAACACGUGGAUAACCUACCUAUAAGACUGGGAUAACUUCGGGAAACCGGAGCUAAUACCGGAUAAUAUUUUGAACCGCAUGGUUCAAAAGUGAAAGACGGUCUUGCUGUCACUUAUAGAUGGAUCCGCGCUGCAUUAGCUAGUUGGUAAGGUAACGGCUUACCAAGGCAACGAUGCGUAGCCGACCUGAGAGGGUGAUCGGCCACACUGGAACUGAGACACGGUCCAG
rnacentral:rRNA from 1 species